CCCUCUCUGUUUUUAUAUUAUUUUUGUUUCCCUUCCCUUAUGUUCAUCUGUUUUUUCUCUUAAAGUCAUAUAAAGAUUAUUUUUUAAAAAAGAAAGUAUGAUAACUUAUAAAUACACCUAGACAGAGAAAAUAUAACAAGAAACCAUACCACAAGGGUUGAUACAGAAGAAUCUGAGAGCAAAGAUGGCCUUAGAAGACUUUCUAGCUCUGAUAGAAUCUGGUCAUUCUGAAAAACAAGAAAUAAUUAGAUUGCUAAAUUCAGUGAGAUUGUUGUUUUAUGAUUCUAAACAUAACCAGCUUUUGCUUUUGCAAUGUUAAACAUCAGGAAUCUGAUUAUUAAACAAAACAAAACAAAACAAAACAAAACAAAAACCAUUGAGGAUGAGACAUUCUCAUAAUCUAGGGAAGUAGACUAAGGUCAGAAGAAAAAACUAUGUAAAGGAAUGUUAUCUUUCUUUGAUUUUACUAUUUUUUCUUUCUCUUUUCCCCAUUCUGUGCUGUAUGCUCUAUAUGUUUGAGUCAUUUAUUUCUGAUUAUAAUUUAAAAACAUAACUUAUGUAAAUACUAAUUGUUGAAGACAUGUGCUUAGAGUUUGCAUUUUUCAAAAAUAAAUCGUAUUACUCUGCAUAACCAGCAACAUAGAGAGCUCUGAGACAUAAUUGUGCAGUCUUAAGAAAUAAGACCUCAAAGAAAUUAAAGACCUUUAAGAAAUUAAAACCUCAAAUAAAAAUGAAAAUUUAGUCUUUCUAUAUGGGACUGAAUUUCCUAUACUGUGGGUAUUUUAUUAGGAUUUACAAUGACCUAGUAUCUUCUGGAAAAUUCUUUAUCUAUGGCUGUCCUGAAUGCAACCGAAGUAGAGUAAGAACAGGACUAAGAUUCCAGAACUUGAAGAACACAUCACUAAUAGGAUCAUUCCUUGCACUGAACUAUCCUUAUGCUAGAUUGUCCAUCAAAGUUCUCUUCAAUGGCCUUCCUCUUCUUUAUCUACAUUCUCUUAUCAAUUCUUUCUCCUCUUUUGUUGGGUGAAAAAAUAUCUUUUUGACCUACCACGAAUUAAAACAUGCUGAAUUUCACAAAGGGAGUUAUACAUCCUUUUGCAUACAUUCAUCUAAAAUGAACACAUUUUAAAACAUAUCCCUUCCUGGACGUAAUUGUAUUUUAUCAGGUAACAGAAGACCUGCAAAAGUUUGGAUCUCUAUAGGUGACGUUUCAAACAUUUCAUGUAGAGUGCUUUUAGGUUUGUGGAUGUUUCCGGGACUCCUAAGAUCUACCACAUGGUGUGCACCUGCUCUGACCACCUGCAAGGUUAACCCCGUGUCUAUUUGGUGCUCAAAUCUCCCCUCACCACCUGGAAUUCUCCCUCCAGCAAAGCCCCAUAAUUGAAACUAUUCUCAUUCUGUGCUUCUGUUCUGUUUCUCAAUGUGAUAGGGGGAUGUGAGAAGGGCGUUGGUGUGGGUUGAGUUGGUACGAAAUGCGUCUAGCGCUUCUGGAGUGUAUCUUUCCAUGCCAUAAGGACUUGUGGGUGCCGGAGCUACAGCCAGACAGAUUGCCAAGUCCGGCUCUUGUAGCCGGCUCUCCGGCAGAUGCCGCAGGCCACUUCCACUUGGUGCCUAGAACUUGACAAUGCCAACAGAAACACACAGCAGGGAUACGCUGAUGGGCAAAAGAAGCGACUGCCCUUGUCACAGGCCAGAAAGGCUAGUUCUUUACAUUGAAGAAAGUAGGGCAAACAGGGUAGGGAGGCAGUGAAAAGCUAAAAUGUUCUCUUUGAUCAGCAACCUCUCGAGAUGCCUUGCCCUUCCUAUCGGAGCUGAUACGGACAGGGUUUUACACUCUUUAACAUGAAAUAUUCAAAAGAGAAUGUUUCCUUAGCCAGUAUCAGCUACAUGGAUCACCAUGAGGGAAAGAUAAUAAUUAUCCCUUUGGGAACAGAAUUGUAAAGAGGGAGGCCUCACUUUCCGGCUGGCAAUAACAUAAACGAGGUAGAUGGAAGUGCAAGGAAGAAUGAAUGAGGAGUGGCCCAGCAAGGGCAGCACCAGUCGCCAAACAAGAACAAGCAGUAGGACUGACAGUUUGGGAAACUGAGGACAGUGAACACACUGGCCUUGACACUGGGACACCCAACUUUUGUCAGAGGAAAGGAUAUUCCAAAACUAAGCCAAAUACAUCUGACUGGAACUUUCAUUUAAAUUUGAAUAGUUCAUUCAGCCUUUGUUCUUUCUUUUUCAGUGCCUCCACAUUCAAACCCUGACCUGUCCUCCCAGAGAACACCUUGUAUCAGUGUUUGAAGAGGGUGAAUUUCCUUUUGUGGAAGAAAAGGGAGCUUAUCUAAUUUUCUUAUUUCCUAAGGGUGCCAUCUAAUAUCUGAUAUUUAUUCUUUAGGAAACAAAAUUCCUCAAUUUUUUUUUUUUAGCUUCAGAAUUCCCAGAAUGGCAGAAAGAUAUUCAGGCAGGUUGGUGCUGGCUAAAUAUUACCCGAUAUUUAUCUGCAUAUCAGCAAAUCAGCCAGUUAUUUCUGUUCCGGAUAAGUUAGAAAAACAAAUCAGCAUUUCUCUCAAAAACUGUCCCUCUAGAUAAGCCCAUAUCUCAAUGCUGUGUUAAAGACUGUUCCAUAACGUAGAGAAUCAAAUUAGUAUCUAAUCUUGCAGUUGAACCUGCAUAAAAGGUUUUUGUAGAAAAGAAGAAAAACAACAGGGGCGAAAACUCUACUUUCUGAGCUUUUCAAAGUCUUUUCACGGCAACAUGCUUAAAGGUUGCUUCCUGAGUAAUGUCCUUUGUUUUGAACAAUUGCUACAAUUGUUUUAAUGUAAAUUUCACAAUAAAAUAAAUGGGAACCAAAACAACGUUGAAGAAGCUCAUCAGCUGCAAAUUCUCUUGGCUGCCUGGAUACCUUAAACGUUGCCUUGGCAGACAAACGGGACAAAUAGCUUAGGCACUUAGAAUUGCCAAGGAGCCUUGAGGUCAUGGAGUCCCACCCUCUUCUUUUGUAAAUGAGUCAAGUUCAAAGAGAUUAGGUGAGUAGCUAGGAGUGUUGAGCCAGUUACUUGUACUAGUGUGAUUUAGGUCUCAGGAUGAUUUUCCUCCAGACCAACUGUACGCAUUUAUGCUCCUUGCUCAGAUAUCCUUUGCACGUAGCUUUCUCCACUGAAAGCACUUGGUAUAUGGUUGUAAAAUGCACAUUUAAAGGUCUCCCUUUUCCAUUAGGCCGGAAUCCCUAUGAAGGUGGGAAACAAAGUUGCUGGUUCAAUUUUGUACGCCUUGAUGAGGUUUUUUUGGGGUGCUGGUGGGGUUCGUGGGGUCUGGGGCUGACGACCAAGAAAGAAUUCUUGAAGACGUCUUUGGUGCAAAAAGGCGGUUUUAUUAAGGCACAGAGACAGGACCCGUGGGUGGAAAGAGCUGCCCUGGACCUGGUGGAGAGACUGGUUAUAUACCAUGGGGUUGGGGAAGUUUCCAGUAAGACUUUCAUAUGCUGAAGAAGACUCCCAGGAUAGUGGAGGCCUAGCUAUUGUCAAGCUAAGGUGGUUUUUCCCUCUAACAAAGCAUUUAGCAUUAAGACAGUAGGGAGUUCCUAGAGAAACGUUUUACUCUGCCAGCCUCAAGUAAUUGUCAAUGGGCUGCAGGUUAUAAGGAAAUUUAAUUCUGUCAUUUCUUUCUGCCUUUGUUUCCCACAUCACUAUGGAGGGGUGAUGGAGACUUAGGUCCUAUGGGACUAAGGUCCUAGGACUAUGAUCUCUAGCUAACCAUUUGUUUUUCCCCUUUUCUUUGUUCUUGGGCAGCCAGGAGUGCCAGAGGAAUAUCACACAUAUCCUGGGGGUGGGGAAGGUGGGGGGAGUUGCGGACUGUCAGUUUGCCUUAUGCUCUCUCAUCACUCUUCUAGCCCAGUCUCUUGCAGAGAAAAGGGAUCCAUCAACAGCAUCUGAUUUAUUUGAAUUACAUUGAAUUUCACAUACAUAUCCCUACAGGGUCCUCACCUCAUCAUUGACACUCUUUGUUGGCUCUCUCCCUGGUAACAAUGUAUAUUUUUUGGGUCCCUCAAAUUCUUCACCUCCUCUGUAAGCUCAGUCGAAGCAAUUAAGUAGUCACGUCCCCUCUGCCUUCUCAUAUUCCCCUUCCCACUUAAACUCAGCCCUGACACCCUCCUCACUACAUUGCUUUCUCUUCUUCCUUCUAUCAUUUGAUAACUAAGAGUUGUAGAUAAAGUUAAUUCUUAUAAAAAGUGGACAGAAGACAAUGAUCAACCUAGCCUUCUGUCUUUGAAUUUCCAUUUACACAUUCCCCACCACACGCAGCAGACUCUACCGUGAACUUGCUCCUUGUUUAUGAACAAUGACGUGUGCUAUUUUGACUACUGUUUACUUUGCAUCUGGACUUCUUUAUUGGUUGCAUCUCAGGGAAGUAACUCAGAGCCCGGUGUCAGUGAAGCCAAGGUCCUGGCUGAUCUACUACCCUGGUCCAGCCAUCUUCAGCUCUAGCCUGGUUUAUUCCAACAGCCUCUUCACUGCUUUUGCCCUUUCUUUGCCUCUGGAACAUAGUUCAUAAAUCAGACUAAGUCUCUCCUUCACUCUGAGCUUCUCACUAACAAACAGGAAGUCAAAGUCCUUGUGAUAGCCUGCCCGGCCCCUGGCUGUUAGCUUCCUGGCUUACAAACCACUCUUCUCCCUUGCUCACUGUCAGCUUCUAAAAGGCAGACUCUACCUACCCCUUCCUCAGGGCCUUUGCAUUGGCCUUCUCCUUUGUCUGGAGUGCAAUUCACACAGAUAUCCCCAGGGCUUGCUCACUCACCUCCUUCAGGUUUUGACUCAAAUACCUCCUGUGUUUUGAGGCUGCGCUCACCACCCUAUAUCAAACUGCCCAUACUUCUUCCCAGCAUUAUUUACAUCUCUUCCCGAUCACCUCUGAUAACCUCCUGAAAAUUCUCCCUAUAGAGUUGUUCUGAAGAUUAAAUGAACUAGCAUAUGCAAAGGGCCUGCAGACUUUAGGUACACAUUAAAUGUUAGGUCUCUCGUGGCAUUCCGUGGUAUCUAGUCGCAGCGAUCUUGGCUGUUACCCCUUUCACGCACUUAGUCCUUCAGUGCCACAAAGUAAUUUACUUCUCCUCUGCUUCCUUUGUUCCUUACACAUCCUUACCUGUCUCUGGGAUAUCUCUCUCCUUCUUAUCAGUUCAAAUUCUACUGUCUUUGAUCACAAAGUAAAAGGAGUUAUAAAUUCUUCCUAUCAAAGGCAAAUAUUGAAGCCUGGCAAUUGUUAGUACAUUUUCUUUUCUUAAGACAUUUAAAAUUUCCUGUACUAUAGUCAAUUCUGUGAAGGCUCUCUCUCCUCUCCUUGACUGGAAGCUCCUUAGAGGAAACCUACCUCCUCCAUUCCUCUCACUUAUCUGCAUCUACAUCCCCCAGUUUCUAGAAUAAUGUCUUAUACAUGAGAGAUAUAAAUAGCUGUAGAUGAAAGGGAAAUCAUUCUCUACAGCCAGUGAACAUGUUAUGUAACCUGGUCUGGAUCACCCGGCGGAAGAACCAAGCGGCACUCAGAGAUCUUGGAAGGCAGGAGGUUUAUUUCAUACCGGUGGGCUCAGAGGAGAUCAUUCUCCAGAGGUCUGAGUUCCGACUGCAAGCAUGGGGACAAUUUAUAGUCUGUUCCUUCAGCAUUAGUAGUAAUUUGGCGCAUGCUGCAAGUGGGGUAGGAAGAAGGGCCCGGAAAGGGAGUCUUUGGGCAGGGACUGGAACUCCCCUAGCAUUCCUGUCGGCCACCUUAUAACAUAAUUUUUCCCUAUAAUUGCCUCCUCUUAUGCCCCUUUAAACAGAUCUAGGCUGUAUUAGAGGGCAUCAGCUUCAUUUAUUAUGGGCUGGUCCUUUCCCGUAGUCCCCUGACUUUGGUUGUGACUAUUCCCGACUGGUUUACACAGUAACAGCAUUCUUCUCCGAGGAAGAUGCAGGUGCCCCCUUUCUCGGAAGUGAGGAGGCCAAGUGCCCGUCCGUUCUGGAGGUCAACUCUUGCCAGAGAACUUAUUUGACGCUGCAAGGACACUAGGGAGUUGGCCACCUAUUCCAUGUCUUCAUUGAGUUCUCAGGACAGUUUAUGUUACAGUCCCACAGAAGAGCCUGUGCCUCCUAUGCCAGCUCCUGUCCCCAUGGCUAUUCCUGCCCCUAGGAGGACAGGUGGCAGCACCACUCAUUUAACCUGGGCCUUAGGGCUGAAGGUUUACAAAUGGGGCCCAGAUUAGAGGCAACAAUACCAACGAAACAUCCUACCCAUAAGAGGAAGGUGAGUGCGAACAGGAACCUCUUGUGGUUUCCCCAGCUUUCUGGGGAAAUUUCUGCCAAUCAGAUGGCAAGGAGUAAGGACACUCUAUUUAUUUUAUCGGACCGGUGAUUCCUCAAUCUUCUGCCGGGCAGCAGACCAGGCAGCUUCCGGGGUGUGGCUGGAGCAGGGCUGAAGAUCCUAAGAAUCUAGGACUCUCCAGAAGAUCGCUUUGAGUGGGUUCAUCAGACUCGGGUCAACCUUCCAAGUCUGGGGCUCCUCAGGAUAGGCCCUUUUGACUCUGGAGUGGUGGACUCAUGGAGUGAUGUCUGUGACCUCAAGGGCAUCAGGAGUGGUCAGAAUAAUGGUAUGAGGCCCAGUCCACUGUGGUUUGACAGGGUCUUUUUUCCAAUCUUUGACCCAGACCGAGUCCCCUAGUGAGAAGGUGUGUACAGGAGAUCCUAAAGAGAGUGGGGCCCUCUCUAUGGUAUAUCGUUAUAACUCAUUUAGGGUGGCCCCUAAAGCUUGAAGUUGUUCUCUUAUUCCCUUAUCCCUUAUUUGGUGUAGGUUCCCUGGGAGGCUCCCUAGACAUGGAGGGGGCCUCCCAUAUAUUAGUUCAAAAGAAGAGAAAUCUUGACUUCCCAGUGCAGGAACAUACAUGCAGGAGGGCCAGGGGCAACAGGUCCAGCCAUGGGAGGUCUGUUUCCUGAUAGAACUUGGCUAAGGUUCCCUUGAGGGUGCAAUUCAUCCGCUCUACUUUCCCUGAACUUUGAGGCCAGUAAGCAGUGUGAAGCUUCCAAGUGAAGUUGAGGGAGUUGGUUAAACUUUGUAUAAUGUCCGCCAUGAACACAGGCCCGUUAUCGCUGUGGAUUGUGGCCAGUGAGCAGAACCAGGGGACAAUUCCUAUUCUUUGGACUCCUGGUGGGGAUCACAGUGUGGAUUGGGCAUUAUUCUUGGCACAAGUGACACAUCAUUUGCUUAUUGUCUGACACAACAUGGGCAGCAGACUGAUGUAAUAUUGUUUUUUGAAGAGGGCCUCUAACGGAGUUUUUCCUAGAUGGGUGAGUUGAUGGUAUUCGCUGACUAGAUGCCCUCCCAUUAUUUCUGGGAUGAAGAUGUGUCCAUCUGGCAGUUUCCACCAUCCUUUCUUGGUCUGGGUGGACCCUUCAACCUCAGCCCAUUUGUUCUCUUUUUUAGUGUAUCUGGGUGGAGGGGUUUCUGCUGGGGGUGUCAGGGUGUAAGGGAGAGAGCUAUGUCUACCUCCUUAUUAGCUGCUAUCUUGGCUGCUUUGUCUGCUAGAUGAUUCCCUUGUGUUGCAGGUUCGUCUCCCUUCCGGUGUCCUUUGCAGUGUAGAACUUCAACUUCUUUUGGAAGCCAGAUGGCCUUGAGGAGCUUUAGUAUUUCCUCCUUGUUUUUGAUGGUCUUCCCCACUGCAGUGAGGAGGAAGCCUAAGUAUCAGACUUGCUUUUGGCAUAUCUGUGCCUUUCUCCAUGAGACCCGAUACCCUGAGUCCAACAGAAGUUAGAGGAGGGCCCUUGUGUCCUCUGUAAAAGUCUCUCAGGUAUUGCUGGCAAGGAGGAGGUCAUCCACAUACUGGAGAAGGGUGUGGCAUGUGGCCUCCCUUGGAAAGCCAGCAAGAUCUCUGGCCAGUGCCUCACAAAGAGGGCAGGCAAGUUUUUAAACCCCUGUUGGAGGCACGUCCAAGUCACUUGCAUCUGAUGCCCUGUGUCUGGUUUGGUCCAUUUGAAGGGAAACAAGGGUUGGCUCUGGGGGGUGCCAAGCGGAGGCAGAAGAAAGCAUCCUUUAAGUCUAGGCAGGUGAACCAGCUGUCAGAGCCUGGGAUCUGGCUGAGGAGGGUGUACAGGUUUGGGACCACCGGGUGCAAGGAGAUAGUCACUUUGUUGGUAGCUUGUAGGUCUUGAACUGGUCAGUACCCUCCUCCUGGCUUCUUGACUGGCAAGAGUGGGGUGUUCCAGGGUGACUGGAAUUCAACCAGAAUGCCUGCUUCUUUGAGUCUGGUCAGGUGUUCUUGGAUGCCUGUCCUUGCCUCUUGUGGGAGGGGGUAUUGCUGCUGUCUCUGCAUUUGAGCCCCUGAGAUUAACUCUACAAUGACAGGGGCCUGGUUGCAGGCAAGUCUGGGGGUUUGUCCUUGGCCCAUACAGUGGGGAAGGCAGUCCUGAAUUCGGGCAGGCAGCUCGGUUGGGCCUGGGCAUAGAUUAGCCUCCAUUCUUCCUCUGUUGGUGUAGUGAUUGCCAUUAUAAGGAGGCCUGAUUCUUCUUAUCUUGGAUCCAAUUGGAGGCUGGUACGUCCCAUUGGGUCAAAGGUUAUUUGGGCCCCCAGCUUUGAGUGUAUAUCCCAGCUGAAGAGAAGGAUAAGGCACUCAGGUAGGUAGAGGAGCUCAUGCCAUACCAUGUGGCCCUCUAGUUCACACUGAUGGGCUUGGCAGAAGGGCUGUUGCAUUGCCCAUUUCCCUGUGGCCUCAAGGAUGGUUGAGGUCUUCUCACUAAGAAGUGAGGUGGGGGAGGUGACCCCAGAAUGUUCAGCCCCAGUGUUGACCAUAAAAGUAAUAGUUUGGCCCCCUACUUUCAUUUUGACCAUGGGCUCAUGUGGGCCAAGAAGAAGUAAGCCUGGUCCCCCUCAAUCUGAAUUUAUUCCUGCUAAGCCUAUGAGGUCUUUUCCACAGCGUUCUUCUACAUAUCGGCUGGGUUUCUGGGACUUUCCCUGGUUGGGACAUCCAUUCUUCUCAUGUCCUUUGUCCUUGCAGUAGGCACAUUGAUACCUUGCUAAAGAGGUUCUGGGCUUUCCCCCACCUCUUGGCAGCUGGACCUUCCCUGCCCUUUUGUUGUCCUUUUCUUUCAGAGCAGUGGUGAGGAGGCUGACCUUUUUUCUCAUCUUUUUCUGGGCUUCCCUCUCAGCAGUGACCUCCCUGUUUAUGUAGAGCUUGUUAGCAACUCGAUCAACUGGGUGAAGUUAAUUCCAGAAAAAAAAACCCCUCAAUUUUUGUAGCUUCUUUCUGAUAUCUGUGGAGGCUUGGGCCACCAAAGAGGGGUUUACCAUCUUCUGGCUUUCUUGUACCUUGGGAUCAAACGAUGUAAAUGCAGUAAACCUCCCAUACCCUCCCAUAAUAAUCCUGGGGAGAUUCCUCUUGCUGCUGGGUGAUUGAGGAUAUCUUGGUCAUAUUCAUGGGCUUCUUAGGCCCUGCCUAGAUCCCCUGGAGGAGAGAGCUUCUUGCUACUUGGUACUUGGUACUUGGAUGUGGACUUGUCCUUCUUCUGUAGUGGAGUCCCAUGUAGGACAUUCUUCAGGUGCAACUGUCCUAGCCCAGGUGCCAGGAUUGACAACCCAGCUGGUGCAUGUUCCUCAAGGUAUUGCCAAGCUCCUCUCAUGAAUCUCCAUCUCUCUUCAGUGUUAAAGUGUGGAGCAGCUGUUGGCAGUCUUCCCAAGUUGGUCGAUGGGUCUGAAAGAGGGUCUCCAUUAGGUCUGGAGAAGGGCUGGUAAUACAUCAUGGAGUGGCCAAGCUGGAGGAUUCCAUUUUCAUCCCGUCUCUCAGGUUCCCAUGUCUCUCAUGCCAACAUCUGGAGAGCGCCUGAGCCUGGCUGACAGUGCAAUCUGGCCGCUGGCCCGGAGGUGGGGGAGAGGAUUUGCCAAGUCCAGAGAUGGUGGGGAGACCAAAGGUGGCAGAGUAUCGGAAACCGGGGGGUUAGGUGCUGACAGUCUCAGGGGAGCAUAUGGCACGGGCAAGAUUGGUUCUACCUCUGGAUCACUGGCAAGAAUUUGUGGAGGUCAGGACUUCUGUACCCUACCCUGUCCCUGUUCAUUGCAGGUAAAUUGCACCCAAGGGGGAAAGUUUUCAGGAACUGAUCAGCGUGACCUGGGUCUCUGGUGACAACAAGCCAGACACGGCAGACUGUUAGGACAUCUAAAGUUCCUACCAAGAGCCAUCCUACACUAAAAGUGGGCCAUUCCAACUCACAUAGGGUCCUUAACUUUCCAGGGAUCAUCUUAAUUCCAUAGUCUCCCGAAAACCCCUUUUUGAAGUUCUUGAUCAUAAUUUCAAGAACUGUGGGUUUGUUCUGUCCCGACCCCAUAAUGUUCCCAUGAGACGAAGUCGCAAAUACAGACAGAGGGAUAGGGGUGCCCCCCUCUAAUGAGAAGACCAGUCAGAUGCCCAUCUGGCCGUGUCCUGAAGGAACUUAGGUGACGCUUAGCCAUAGUGGUCUCAGCUUUGUGACUUCUGAUCAAAAACUAUCUGAUGCCGCCAUAGACUGUAUGCUGUUCACCACAGAAUCGCAGACAGGCCCACUCAGAUUCCGUGGGCUUUUGGAGAACUUAAGGGUGCCCACCGGUGGAGCCACAGAUUCAGUCCCAACUGGAGGACCAGGUUGGGCUGCACAUUCACUCACACAAUCAGACCAGAUGUUAAUAUGUUCCCUCCCUAAGAAUCCCUACUUGUGAGACCUCUAAAAGGACUCCAGGAGGUGAUCAGGCUCCCCAUCCACCCUGACAGGUGAGUCUGACUGGGUCCAGGGGCCCCAGACCUUACUGUUAUCUGACAUGGGGUCCAGAUCCUCACCUACCAAGUCUCCUUACCUUCUCCAUUGCAAUUCCUCUUUCUGUCCACUGCCUUGCCAUUUUUCCAAACCGGUGGCAACAAUGGCCUAAUGCAGUUGGGUUUCACUCAGUCAGGGAACCAAAUGUCAGGCAACCUGGUCUGGAUUACCCGGCGGAAGAACCAAGCAGCACUCAGAGAUCUUGGAAGGCAGGAGGUUUAUCAUACCAGCGGGCUCAGAAGAGAUCACUCUCCAGAGGUCUGAGUUCCGAUUGUAAGCAUGGGAGACAAUUUAUACUCUGUUACUUCCGCAUUAGUAGUAAUUUGGCGCACAUGGCACGUGGGGUAGGAAGAAGAGCCCAGAAGGAGAGUCUUUGGGCAGGGACUGGAAGUCCCCUAUCAGUCUUGUCGGCCAUCUUAGAACAUAAUUUUCCCCUAUCAAACAGAGUGAGAGGACUCCCUAUUUCUCAACAUCUUUCAGAGAACUUUAAUAAACUAUGAUUUUUCUUUUCAUUUCUUUGUGUUUUCUCUAAAUUUUCAAAUCAUCAAUGUGAAUGAGAAGCCAAAUCCUUACCUUGCCUGUAUUACUAAAAAGAAAGAAUAAAAGAACCAACCGGAAGUUUCAAAGGUUGAUUCAUGGUCCUGUUGUUCUGAGCUCUGAGGAAAAGUAUAAUAGUUCCUACAGUCUCGUGUGGGUUUCUGGUGAGCACCAUCAGAAACCUUUCCAUUCUUCCUGUCUCUACUGAUUUAUCUACCAUAGUUGCAAUUCCACAGCCAACCUAGAACAGUCCUGGAAUGCAAAGUCACGAAUGUCACUAAUGUCACUGAGUCAGGGCCUGAAUUUGUUGUUCGGACUGCUCGCUUCAUUCCACACUGAAGAACUUACAAGUCUGACAGACUCUCUCCUUGGCCAAAUUUUAGUCAGGCUCCUCUGACCCUUCUUUUUGACUAGAAGUCAAUCUUGGUCUAUAGAACUGCAAAUUCUCAGCACAAAUGAUUUCAUCCGCAUGCUGUCCCCUGCACCACCACCCCUUGUGUUCCCAACGCCUACCACACACAGUAAGAGAUGGGACUAGUAUACUUGCUAAGGGCUCAUAGUUUCCAACAUCCCUGGAUGUAUCCAGCACCCCCGUUUAAAGUUCCUUCCUGGGAAAGCUCAAGACUGCCGAAAGCAUUUACUGUUGAGAUAUACCUAGAUCUACUAGCUGCCUGUCAUGAUAGUUCUUAAAAAACAGCAUCCUCCCCGCUACUAGGGGCACCUGGACGGCUCAGUCAGUUAAGCUGACUCUUGAUUUUGGCUCAGGUUAUGAUUUCGAGAUUGGUUCAUGGGUUUGGGCUCUGUGAUGACAGUGGGGAGCCUGCUUGGAAUUCUCUCUCCUUCCCUCUCUCUCUGCCCCUCCCCCACUGAUGCUGUCUCUCCUCUCUCUCUCUCAAAAUAAAUAAACAUUUAAAAAACCCAGCACCCCUACCUGAUUUUUGUAAAUUCCACUUCCUAAACUGCUCCAGCCCUGUUCACUCCUCCUUCGUAGUCCUUCAUCCUCCUUUUAAAACAUCACAUCCUCUCCACACAGAUCAGGUUUGGACUCAGUUUACACUAGAGUCUCUCUCCUACUGCAGUAGUCUAAAUAAAAUCUGUCUUGCCACCUUUAACAAAUGGCUCACUCUGCUUGUCUUUGACAAGUCUAAACUCUACAGCUGAGAGUAGGAAACAGGAAUGUCUCAGCGAUUUCUGGGCUGCCUCAUUCCCGUGGAAAUUUUCCUAGAGCAGAGUUUCCCCAGGAAGUGUGUAUGUGGUUGUUUACACACAAAAUUUACUAGAUCUUGCAAUAGCAUUUUCAGAAAAGCUAUAUGGAAAUAUAAAUAUAAAUCAUGGAUUUUUCCAUUAAAUAUUUUGAAAAGAAAAAGCAUUAUUAGGGAGCAGGACACAAGGAGCCUAUUACCAUGAAUAAAUACAUAUUUUUAAAAAACCAAUAAUUUUGAAAAACACUCAUCUCAAAAAUUCAAGAUUGUUGCCCUCAGGCUUUAGUUCAAUGAAUGCAGCUAUAGGACAGGAUGCUGUCAUCUACUUCUGCUUAAUAAGACUGUCUAAUAAUUCUUUUAAUUUAUCUGGGUUUUCAAAGCACUUGCUUGACAGAUUUUAGAUGAGCAGCUAAUCUGUCAUUUACAGAAGGGACAGUGAUGAGAGGGAGCAAUGCCUAAUUCAUCCAUAUGCUCUUUUAUCUGUUGAUUUAAUUUAUUUAGUUCAUUCUUUACUAAAAGUAUUGACAGAGGGGAAAAUAUUUAAUCACAAUCUUGCAGGUUAAAAAAAAAAAGAUGCUGAUAUCAGGCUCGGGGAAGCAGGAGAAAGCUGGGUUGUUGAUGAUCCCAGGAGGAAAGGAAAAUGUGAUUGAGUGAUGUUUAUCUGACCUAUUUUAUUCUGAAUUGUUAUGGAUGCAGCAGUAGUGGUAGAGAGCUCCAUGCAUGUGACAGGUAUUCACCAAAGGAUUUUAUUCUGCACUGUGUGUAAUCAGAACAUGAUUUCUUAUCCACAUCCCACUGUAGAAUUUUUGUAAAGGUUGUGAUUGCAGCAAACCAGAAGCCCAGACUUGUGAUUAUAUUUUACAGACAAGUAAUGGUCACUUUGUGCUGCUUAGACUUUGAAGGUAUUUUCUCGUGGUUUGUUCUGUUUUAAAUUUUUGUUUAUUUAUUUAUUUUUGUUGUUAAGCUCUCAGAAUUCUUGAUCAUCUGGCAGAGGAGAUACCCCAAAAGGUAACAAUAAACUGUCUAAGCUACACAAACUGUUUUUAUUUUGUUUUUACUUUGUUGCUCUUGAUUGUUUUAAAACCAGGAGUACAAGUAUUUGAGAUAACAGGAAUAAAUUUAAAUUUCUACUCUUGGAAAAUAAUUAUUUGCUCCUCAGUAAAACUGAGGAAAAACAUCCCCACUAAUGAUGAAGCCAUUGGUGGUGGGGGGCAGUAUUCUGGUUGACCUUUGCUCUAAUUGACUCUGUAGAGUGGGGAAUUUAAAAAUCAUAAGAGAUGUGUAGAAAUAAUGGAAAAAUAGAGAAACUAAUUUAGACAUUGCUUAAGAGGAAAUAAUCUAAGGUCCUAUGACUUUUCUAGAGGCUGGCAUGAGACUUUGGCUUGCUUUUGCAUGAAUUUCUUUAAGUCUUAUAUCUUCUAGGGGAGAUUUCUCUCUCUCAGAUGUCUGUCUACACGAUCACAUACUCACAAGGUAGAGUAGUUUUCUCGAAAGUGUCAAAUAUCUUAGAAAGGGUAACCCAAAGGAUAAAUGUUAUUUAUUUAACAAAGAUGUAAUGAGCACCUACUAUGCUCUGAAAACUACUAAAUUCUGGGUGUUUGUUGGUGAACAAAUGAGACUUGAUCUCUGUUGUCAUGGAGACAACAAAGCUGGUGAUGUAGUAGCUGAGGCUGCCCUGGCUUGUCUCUAUGUCUAGAAGGUCUUUCCAACAUAGCAACUUUAGCACAGCCAGCCUUCUCUCAUGGCAACUCAGGCUCCAAAGUUUCCCAGUGAGAAGGAACAUGGCAAGGCGCAGGGGUGAGGGACACAUCCUAUAAGCCUGCUCCUCUCCUUUCAUUGGAGAGAAGAGGAGGAAGAGGAGCAGCUCAAAACAGAUGAUGGGAGAAAGGAAGUGACGUGAGAAGAAUGGUCACCCAAAGCAUCCUGGGAUGAAAAUGAAGACAUUGAAGAAUCGUCAUUUUCGUUGUCAUCACUGUUAUAUUGUAAAUCUGAGAGCUUAGAUGGAGGGGGUAUGUGUGCUUAUACAUAAUGGUUUAGAAAAGAUCCAUCAUUAGUUUAA